UGCAGUCGAGCGGACAGAUGGGAGCUUGCUCCCUGAUGUUAGCGGCGGACGGGUGAGUAACACGUGGGUAACCUGCCUGUAAGACUGGGAUAACUCCGGGAAACCGGGGCUAAUACCGGAUGCUUGUUUGAACCGCAUGGUUCAAACAUAAAAGGUGGCUUCGGCUACCACUUACAGAUGGACCCGCGGCGCAUUAGCUAGUUGGUGAGGUAACGGCUCACCAAGGCAACGAUGCGUAGCCGACCUGAGAGGGUGAUCGGCCACACUGGGACUGAGACACGGCCCAGACUCCUACGGGAGGCAGCAGUAGGGAAUCUUCCGCAAUGGACGAAAGUCUGACGGAGCAACGCCGCGUGAGUGAUGAAGGUUUUCGGAUCGUAAAGCUCUGUUGUUAGGGAAGAACAAGUACCGUUCGAAUAGGGCGGUACCUUGACGGUACCUAACCAGAAAGCCACGGCUAACUACGUGCCAGCAGCCGCGGUAAUACGUAGGUGGCAAGCGUUGUCCGGAAUUAUUGGGCGUAAAGGGCUCGCAGGCGGUUCCUUAAGUCUGAUGUGAAAGCCCCCGGCUCAACCGGGGAGGGUCAUUGGAAACUGGGGAACUUGAGUGCAGAAGAGGAGAGUGGAAUUCCACGUGUAGCGGUGAAAUGCGUAGAGAUGUGGAGGAACACCAGUGGCGAAGGCGACUCUCUGGUCUGUAACUGACGCUGAGGAGCGAAAGCGUGGGGAGCGAACAGGAUUAGAUACCCUGGUAGUCCACGCCGUAAACGAUGAGUGCUAAGUGUUAGGGGGUUUCCGCCCCUUAGUGCUGCAGCUAACGCAUUAAGCACUCCGCCUGGGGAGUACGGUCGCAAGACUGAAACUCAAAGGAAUUGACGGGGGCCCGCACAAGCGGUGGAGCAUGUGGUUUAAUUCGAAGCAACGCGAAGAACCUUACCAGGUCUUGACAUCCUCUGACAAUCCUAGAGAUAGGACGUCCCCUUCGGGGGCAGAGUGACAGGUGGUGCAUGGUUGUCGUCAGCUCGUGUCGUGAGAUGUUGGGUUAAGUCCCGCAACGAGCGCAACCCUUGAUCUUAGUUGCCAGCAUUCAGUUGGGCACUCUAAGGUGACUGCCGGUGACAAACCGGAGGAAGGUGGGGAUGACGUCAAAUCAUCAUGCCCCUUAUGACCUGGGCUACACACGUGCUACAAUGGACAGAACAAAGGGCAGCGAAACCGCGAGGUUAAGCCAAUCCCACAAAUCUGUUCUCAGUUCGGAUCGCAGUCUGCAACUCGACUGCGNGAAGCNGGAAUCGCUAGUAAUCNNNNAUCAGC
rnacentral:rRNA from 1 species